CCGCGCUAUAAUCGGCCGGGUACGGCACCUAUUGUGCAACCACUGAUCAGUUGGAUUUACCAAGCUCCACGUGGCCGGGUAUGAUUCUACCGAGCCUUUUGAUGGCCGGGUACGUUUUUACCGAGUCCUCUUUGAGGCCGGGUACGAUAUGAUGAUGAUGACGCCCAUAGAGGCGAAUGUUUUAAAAAAAAGUUUAUGUAUAUAUAUGUAUUAUGCAUUUCAUAUCAGUAGCCCCCAGAGGCACUCAAAUGUUACAUGUUGUAUCUCAUCUGUCUCUUUUUACAUUACUGUUCUUGUUUAUGCUUCUAUGCCUCACAUACUUGGUACAUUAUUCGUACUGACGUCCCUUUUGCCUGGGGACGCUGCGUUUCAUGCCCGCAGGUCCUGAUAGACAGAUCGAGAGCCCUCCAAGUACUCUAUCAACUCAACGGAAGAUGUUGGUGCGCUCCAUUUGCUUCGGAGUUGCUCGUCUGGUUAGUAUUAUUUAGACGUGUAUUGUUUAGUGUGGCGGGAUUCUGUCCCGACCCUUAUGGCAUUUAUGUAUUCUUAGAGGCUUGUAGACAUAUGUCGUGUACGUGAAAGAUUGUAUGGCCUUGUCGGCCUAUGUCUUGAGUUUAUAAAUGAUUAUGUUGGCCUAUUAGGAUUGUAUUUCACGUGUAUAUGAUGAUGUGAUAAGAAAGAUACGUUACG
rnacentral:lncRNA from 1 species